CUCUUGAGUGGAUCCUGAGUACGACGGAGCACGUGAAAUUCCGUCGGAAUCUAGGAGGACCAUCUCCUAAGGCUAAAUACUCUCUAGUGACCGAUAGUGAACCAGUACCGUGAGGGAAAGGUGAAAAGUACCCCGGAAGGGGAGUGAAAGAGAACUUGAAACCGUGUGCUUACAAGUAGUCAGAGCCCGUUUAUGGGUGAUGGCGUGCCUUUUGUAGAAUGAACCGGCGAGUUACGAUCUGAUGCAAGGUUAAGCAG
rnacentral:rRNA from 1 species